rnacentral:rRNA from 1 species
UACGGAGGAUGCGAGCGUUAUCCGGAUUUAUUGGGUUUAAAGGGUGCGUAGGCGGGCUUUUAAGUCAGCGGUAAAAAUUCGGGGCUCAACCCCGUCCGGCCGUUGAAACUGGGGGUCUUGAGUGGGCGAGAAGACGGCGGAAUGCGUGGUGUAGCGGUGAAAUGCAUAGAUAUCACGCAGAACCCCGAUUGCGAAGGCAGCCUUCCGGCGCCCUACUGACGCUGAGGCACGAAAGUGCGGGGAUCGAACAGG